rnacentral:rRNA from 1 species
CCUACGGGAGGCAGCAGUGAGGAAUAUUGGUCAAUGGGCGGAAGCCUGAACCAGCCAAGUAGCGUGCAGGAUGACGGCCCUACGGGUUGUAAACUGCUUUUAUCCGGGAAUAACGCGCCUUACGUGUAGGGCUUUGCAUGUACCGUCUGAAUAAGGACCGGCGUAUUCCGUGCCAGCAGCCGCGGUAAUACGGAGGGUCCGGGCGUUAUCCGGAUUUAUUGGGUUUAAAGGGUGCGUAGGCGGUCUGUUAAGUCAGCGGUCAACGCCCGGGGCGCACCCCCGGCCCGCCGUUGAAACUGGCAGUCUCGAGUUGGAGAGAAGUAUGCGGAAUGCGCGGUGUAGCGGUGAAAUGCAUAGAUAUCGCGCAGAACUCCGAUUGCGAAGGCAGCAUGCCGGCUCCACACUGACGCUGAGGCACGAAAGCGUGGGUAUCGAACAGGAUUAGAUACCCUAGUAGUC